UACGUAGGUGGCGAGCGUUAUCCGGAAUUACUGGGCGUAAAGCGCACGCAGGCGGUUAUUCAAGUCCGAUGUGAAAGCUCUUGGCUUAACUGAGAGAGGUCGUUGGAAACUGAAUGACUUGAGGUGAUGAGAGGGGUGUGGAAUUCCCGGUGUAGUGGUGGAAUGCGUAGAUAUCGGGGGGAACACCAGUGGCGAAAGCGGCACCCUGGCAUUAACCUGACGCUCAGGUGCGAAAGCGUGGGUAGCGAACGGG
rnacentral:misc_RNA from 1 species